GUCACAUUAUUCUAAGAAAAUCGAAGUGUGUCAGCCUCUCCCAGUGUGAGUAGAGACUCAAGCGCAGACAGAUCUCCAACCCCGAUUUUUUUCUCCUGCUGGUAAAUGAAGAAUUCAGAGCUAAAGCAUCAUAGACAUAAAAAAAGGAAGAAAAAAUCAAGGAGCUUGAAACAUGAUUCCAGCAAUGUAGCAAGCAGGAGCAUGACCCCUCAGUUGGCACGUCAAUUUCAGGAACUCUUCGAACUCGUGCACCACCAAAUUGAGAGCCAUCCCAACCGCUAUCCCAACAUGUACGACCCCACCCCAGACGAAGUUCUGUUUUUGAUCCAACUGCUUUACCUGCACUAAGUGGAGAUGGGAGCAGUGAAGAAGAAAAUGACAAGACUGAGAUCCAUGUAAAAGAGCCAGCUUCAGGACAGCAAUCGGAAGUUUGUGAGCAACACUUGCAGAGAGGACAUGCAAGAAACAUCGAGAAAAGAAAUGAUGAUAGAAAACCAUAUAAAGAAUAUUCUGCAUCCAGAUCUGGAGGAAGGCCUUUAAGCCAGCAGCCUUUACAAAAGCAGGAGAAAUACGACCAUGAUUACAAGGUCCAAUCUGAGAGAAAACAACUCAAAUCAGAGGUAAAAGAGCAUCACUUGGAAAGAAAACAAGACAACUUAGAGAGCUCUAGAGCCCAAUUCAGGAGAUCUCAUGGUCAAUCAGAGAGAUCUCGUGGCUACAUAGAAAGAUCUCAUCGCCGCUCAGAGCACUCUCAUGGCCGCUCAGAGAGAUACCAUGUCUACUCAGAGAGAUACCAUGUCUACUCAGAGAGAUCUCGUAGUCGCUCAGACAGAUCUUAUGGUCACUCAGAGAGAUACCGUGGCUAUGCAGAGCUACCUUAUGGUCACUCAAGUAGAUAUCAUGAUCAAUCAGGGAGAAUUUAUGGCCAAUCAGAGGGCUAUCAAAGAUACUUACCAAGAUACUUACCUGAAGGAAGAUUUGGAACAUCAUUCAAAACUGACGCUACAUUUGACAGGAAAUUUACAGUAUAUAAAAGAAAUGACUACUUUUACAAAAGGAUGUCGGAAAGAAAUUAUUCAGUGAAUGUGAAUCAAAAGGUAGCACCAGAACAUGAACAUAACUCCUACGAAGCUGAAAGAAAUUAUACAAGAUAUAUGAAUCGUGGAGAUGAUUCCUUCUUUCUGAGGACCAGACAUACUGGGGAGGGUUCUCCGCACCAGCCCAGAGGAGUAUUCCUGAAAUACAACUUUAAAGCACUAGGAAAUCAGACUAACCUUUCACUCCAUGAGAGAUUCUCUAAACUGGAAGCUCUGAGAAAACCAAGAGGUUUCAUCAACUACUGAAGACCAGAAUGUUCUUUGCUAUUAGAUUAUGUUUGAGAGUGUAUAUGUGUUCUUUCAAUAUUUACCCUUCUACUGUUCCUUUUAAAGUACUUUUCUCUAUGUAAGCUUUCAUGUAAUCUACCAAAAUUAAGCAAUUAAACGAAAGAAAUGUUUAGCUUUUGUUUGCAUAAAACAACAGGAAGGAAGUCAAGAACGGAGGUGAUUUCAAAUGAGAGAUGUUAGGAAAACAGCUAUGUUUAAGAACUAAAUGUCUUUUCAACGUCAGAGAAUUUGUUCCUUUAAUUUUAUUCCCCUAGAACUUGCUUGACUCCUAAGACACCUCCAUUGUAUCAGUUUAACAAAGUAACUAAAUAUCUUUUAUGGCCAAAUACUCUGCGCCACAAGUCAGUCUGUAAGUGGAUUCUACUCUUUGGUUAUUAAAAUGUUACACUUGUAUGCUAGCUUUUACAAUUCUAUAGGAAUUUGUAGUUUCACUUUUGAGAUAGACUUAUAAGAAUUUAAAACUCUGUCAUUUUUUUUGUGAACACAUGAAACAAAUAAAGCUUGAACAUAACUGUGACUCUUUUGUGGUCCAUUGAUAUCUGGGGCUCAAAGUAAUAGAGAUCCUGCUACAGACAAAUUAUCAAAGUGUAAUUUAGAGCUCAGUUCCUGUGUCCAGCUAAGCCUGUUAGGGUCACUGGAAAUGGCGAGUUUGCGAUUAUCUGGUACUUCCAUGUAAGACUGGUAUUUUUAAACCUAAUUUUAAUAAAUUCUGUCCUCACAUUUAAUAGUUACUUGUACAAGAAAAAUGCAAAGGAGAGGGAGAGGGAGGGAGAGAAUGAAGAGGAGAGAGAGGAAGGCGAAAGAGAAAAGAAGAGGGAAGAGGAGAAGAAGAGAAAGAAAGAAAAAAAGGAAGGAAGGAAGAAAGAAAAGAAAAGAAAAGAAAAGAAAGAAAGAAAGAAAGAAAGAAAGAAAGAAAGAAAGAAAGAAAGAAAGAAAUACGCACAUGAGUAAGAGUCAU
rnacentral:lncRNA from 1 species